AGAGUUUGAUCCUGGCUCAGGACGAACGCUGGCGGCGUGCUUAACACAUGCAAGUCGAGCGGAAAUAUAUUGAAGAUUUAUCGGAUAUAUAUUUUAGCGGCGGACGGGUGAGUAACGCGUGGGCAAUCUGCCUCACACAGGGGAAUAACACUGGGAAACUAGUGCUAAUACCGCAUAACAUAGUGAAGUGGCAUCACUUUACUAUCAAAGGAGUAAUCCGGUGUGAGAUGAGCCCGCGUCCGAUUAGCUAGUUGGUGGGGUAAUGGCCCACCAAGGCGACGAUCGGUAGCCGAACUGAGAGGUUGAUCGGCCACAUUGGGACUGAGACACGGCCCAGACUCCUACGGGAGGCAGCAGUGGGGAAUAUUGCGCAAUGGGGGAAACCCUGACGCAGCAACGCCGCGUGAAGGAUGAAGGUUUUCGGAUUGUAAACUUCUUUGAUUGGGGACGAUAAUGACGGUACCCAAAAAACAAGCCACGGCUAACUACGUGCCAGCAGCCGCGGUGAUACGUAGGUGGCAAGCGUUGUCCGGAUUUACUGGGUGUAAGGGGCGUGUAGGCGGGGAUGCAAGUCAGAUGUGAAAUUCCGGGGCUCAACCCCGGCGCUGCAUCUGAAACUGUAUCUCUUGAGUGCUGGAGAGGAAAGCGGAAUUCCUAGUGUAGCGGUGAAAUGCGUAGAUAUUAGGAGGAACACCAGUGGCGAAGGCGGCUUUCUGGACAGUAACUGACGCUGAGGCGCGAAAGCGUGGGGAGCGAACAGGAUUAGAUACCCUGGUAGUCCACGCCGUAAACGAUGGAUACUAGGUGUAGGAAGUAUCGACCCCCUUCUGUGCCCGAAGUAACACAAUA
rnacentral:rRNA from 1 species